GACUUCCACGAAAAAUUAUGCGCAACAUAAAAUGGGCAGGAGGGAGUAGUAGAGUUCAAACAUUCCAACGUCCAACCAUAAUGGAAUGGGGAAUGUCCUUCCUCGCCUCCUCGAGCAACAUGUAUGAUGUAUGCACAGUAACCAAUGCAAAAAUACAUAUAACACAUCUUGAUAUUGCUUAGAAGCAUUUAUUAGAUAAACUUAUGUAUGAAGGAUAGUAUAUUAUCCCUGUCACCUUUUAAUGUCAUGUUAUCCAUGUACUAAUUCCUUAAUCUAUCUUCCAUGAGUCCAUGACACAUCCUUCUAAUCUGUUUUUCUUUGUGCAUGUGUUUGUGUGCGCCAAAAUCAGGGCUCCUAACUAGCAAUCAUGGGAUUGCAAUGUUCUCUUCUACAUCUCUUUUAUCUCUCUUAACAAAAUUCUAAAUGAGUAGCACAGCUAGAAAGCAAACCUGGGAUUGCAAAGAUUUAUAUGCCGAGGCCAAGCACAAAUUGCAUUAGCACCAUUUUGUUGGUUCUGGAUAGAAACAAUGAUCAAGGAUGGCAAGAACAAGAUCGGGUAUAAACUCAUGGUUUCUUCAUUCACUGCCGAAAUAUUGUUGUUAAAUGGUCUAGGUUGACAGUCCGAACAACUAUAGAUUCUACUAGAGGGAUGGAGGCGGUGACUGACCUGAAUCUUAUUGUCAAUUAGUGGCCUUUUCAUUUUAAAUAUGCUUCCUGUCAUUUUUUUCUCAUUGCAUAAAUUUACUUAUUAAUGUUUUUACAUGCUUGAAGAUUGGUGGAUAGAUGGUGACAUCGAAAAUGCAUCUUUAGUUCAUCAGGUGGAGAAGACAUUAAUUCCUAUAAAAAUAUGGAAAAAAGUAAACCACAAGGCAAAUGUCUUCUUCUCUAUUUCUUAGUAUUGGUUUACUUCAGACCAAACAAGUGUAAUGUAGCUUAAUUUCUUUUCAGACUUCACACACACCUCAUUUUCUAUUCUAAAUCUGUUAGUGAGCAUAUGCAUAUACUAAAGGUGGCGAAUGCCUUCUCAGGGGAAAUAAGAAACUGCAGUUGAAUGCUGACUUAGCGUGACUGGCUUCAUGAGUUCUUGUAUUAUAUUAGGGACUUGUAUCCACUGGAGUUUGUGCAAUGUCAUUCUGCUUUUUAAUUCUCAACUUCCUUUUUCACCUUGAGUUUUUAAAGAUAUUUUCUUCAUGUUUGGUUAAUCAUGUUGUAUAUAGCAUUACUAAAAAGAUAAAUGUAUGAUCAUUGCUGAUCACUUUCAUGGCACAGUAAGCCUCCAUAUGUCAAGCUCCAAAAAGUAGCAUGUACUAUCAUUGUGUUUAUCUCAUUGCAGGAUUGGACUGCAUAGCGUGCUAUAUAUACAAUCAGCAAUUACUCUGCUUAAUACUGAUGUGUUCCAGUGGAGUGUCAAUAGCAUCUCUCUGGUGUGCUUUCUGGUUAAGAUUUAGUAGCCAUUGACAUGAGAAUUAGUAUAAAUGCUUAGUUACACUACGUGUAUUUCCUGCUGCUUCAUCCUGUUCUGAAUUUGGGGCAUCCAUCUGGUUGUUUCUGUUUUUGAAAUGACAGACAUCCAACUA